rnacentral:rRNA from 1 species
CACUAUCGUUAACUGAAUACAUAGGUUAACGAGGCGAACCGGGGGAACUGAAACAUCUAAGUACCCCGAGGAAAAGAAAUCAACCGAGAUUCCCCCAGUAGCGGCGAGCGAACGGGGAGCAGCCCAGAGUCUGAAUCAGCUUGUGUGUUAGUGGAACGGUCUGGAAAGUCCGACGGUACAGGGUGAUAGUCCCGUACACCAAAAUGCACAGGCUGUGAACUCGAAGAGUAGGGCGGGACACGUGGUAUCCUGUCUGAAUAUGGGGGGACCAUCCUCCAAGGCUAAAUACUCCUGACUGACCGAUAGUGAACCAGUACCGUGAGGGAAAGGCGAAAAGAACCCCGGCGAGGGGAGUGAAAAAGAACCUGAAACCGUGUACGUACAAGCAGUGGGAGCACCUUCGGGUGUGACUGCGUACCUUUUGUAUAAUGGGUCAGCGACUUAUAUUCUGUAGCAAGGUUAACCGUAUAGGGGAGCCGCAGGGAAACCGAGUCUUAACUGGGCGUUAAGUUGCAGGGUAUAGACCCGAAACCCGGUGAUCUAGCCAUGGGCAGGUUGAAGGUUGGGUAACACUAACUGGAGGACCGAACCGACUAAUGUUGAAAAAUUAGCGGAUGACUUGUGGCUGGGGGUGAAAGGCCAAUCAAACCGGGAGAUAGCUGGUUCUCCCCGAAAGCUAUUUAGGUAGCGCCUCGUGAAUUCAUCUUCGGGGGUAGAGCACUGUUUCGGCUAGGGGGUCAUCCCGACUUACCAACCCGAUGCAAACUACGAAUACCGAAGAAUGUUAUCACGGGAGACACACGGCGGGUGCUAACGUCCGUCGUGAAGAGGGAAACAACCCAGACCGCCAGCUAAGGUCCCAAAGUCAUGGUUAAGUGGGAAACGAUGUGGGAAGGCACAGACAGCCAGGAUGUUGGCUUAGAAGCAGCCAUCAUUUAAAGAAAGCGUAAUAGCUCACUGGUCGAGUCGGCCUGCGCGGAAGAUGUAACGGGGCUAAACCAUGCACCGAAGCUGCGGCAGCGACACUAUGUGUUGUUGGGUAGGGGAGCGUUCUGUAAGCCUGCGAAGGUGUGCUGUGAGGCAUGCUGGAGGUAUCAGAAGUGCGAAUGCUGACAUAAGUAACGAUAAAGCGGGUGAAAAGCCCGCUCGCCGGAAGACCAAGGGUUCCUGUCCAACGUUAAUCGGGGCAGGGUGAGUCGACCCCUAAGGCGAGGCCGAAAGGCGUAGUCGAUGGGAAACAGGUUAAUAUUCCUGUACUUGGUGUUACUGCGAAGGGGGGACGGAGAAGGCUAUGUUAGCCGGGCGACGGUUGUCCCGGUUUAAGCAUGUAGGCUGAUUAUCCAGGCAAAUCCGGAUAAUCAAGGCUGAGGUGUGAUGACGAGGCACUACGGUGCUGAAGUAACAAAUGCCCUGCUUCCAGGAAAAGCCUCUAAGCAUCAGGUAACAUUAAAUCGUACCCCAAACCGACACAGGUGGUCAGGUAGAGAAUACCAAGGCGCUUGAGAGAACUCGGGUGAAGGAACUAGGCAAAAUGGUGCCGUAACUUCGGGAGAAGGCACGCUGGUGUGUAGGUGAAGUCCCUGCGGAUGGAGCUGAGACCAGUCGAAGAUACCAGCUGGCUGCAACUGUUUAUUAAAAACACAGCACUGUGCAAACACGAAAGUGGACGUAUACGGUGUGACGCCUGCCCGGUGCCGGAAGGUUAAUUGAUGGGGUUAUCCGUAAGGAGAAGCUCUUGAUCGAAGCCCCGGUAAACGGCGGCCGUAACUAUAACGGUCCUAAGGUAGCGAAAUUCCUUGUCGGGUAAGUUCCGACCUGCACGAAUGGCGUAAUGAUGGCCAGGCUGUCUCCACCCGAGACUCAGUGAAAUUGAACUCGCUGUGAAGAUGCAGUGUACCCGCGGCAAGACGGAAAGACCCCGUGAACCUUUACUAUAGCUUGACACUGAACAUUGAGCCUUGAUGUGUAGGAUAGGUGGGAGGCUUUGAAGCGUGGACGCCAGUCUGCGUGGAGCCAACCUUGAAAUACCACCCUUUAAUGUUUGAUGUUCUAACGUUGGCCCCUUACCGGGGUUGCGGACAGUGUCUGGUGGGUAGUUUGACUGGGGCGGUCUCCUCCCAAAGCGUAACGGAGGAGCACGAAGGUUAGCUAAUCCUGGUCGGACAUCAGGAGGUUAGUGCAAUGGCAUAAGCUAGCUUGACUGCGAGCGUGACGGCGCGAGCAGGUGCGAAAGCAGGUCAUAGUGAUCCGGUGGUUCUGAAUGGAAGGGCCAUCGCUCAACGGAUAAAAGGUACUCCGGGGAUAACAGGCUGAUACCGCCCAAGAGUUCAUAUCGACGGCGGUGUUUGGCACCUCGAUGUCGGCUCAUCACAUCCUGGGGCUGAAGUAGGUCCCAAGGGUAUGGCUGUUCGCCAUUUAAAGUGGUACGCGAGCUGGGUUUAGAACGUCGUGAGACAGUUCGGUCCCUAUCUGCCGUGGGCGCUGGAGAAUUGAGGGGGGCUGCUCCUAGUACGAGAGGACCGGAGUGGACGCAUCACUGGUGUUCGGGUUGUCAUGCCAAUGGCACUGCCCGGUAGCUAAAUGCGGAAGAGAUAAGUGCUGAAAGCAUCUAAGCACGAAACUUGCCCCGAGAUGAGUUCUCCCUGAGACUUUAAGUCUCCUGAAGGAACGUUGAAGACGACGACGUUGAUAGGCCGGGUGUGUAAGCGCAGCGAUGCGUUGAGCUAACCGGUACUAAUGAACCGUGAGGCUUAACCUU